UAUUGGUCAAUGGGCGGGAGCCUGAACCAGCCAAGCCGCGUGAGGGAAUAAGGCCCUAUGGGUCGUAAACCUCUUUUGUCGGGGAACAANAGCGGGGACGCGUCCCCGUCUGCGUCUACCCGAAGAAAAAGCAUCGGCUAACCCCGUGCCAGCAGCCGCGGUAAUACGGAGGAUGCGAACGUUAUCCGGAUUUAUUGGGUUUAAAGGGUGCGUAGGCGAUAUGGUAAGUCAGCGGUAAAAGCCCGGGGCUCAACCCCGGCGAGCCGUUGAAACUGCCGUGCUAGAGAGGAAGAGAAGUAGGCGGUAUGCGCAGUGUAGCGGUGAAAUGCUUAGAUAUUGCGCAGAACUCCGAUUGCGAAGGCAGCCUACCGGCUUCUGUCUGACGCUGAGGCACGAAAGCGUGGGUAUCG
rnacentral:rRNA from 1 species